CUUUUGGGGACUGUCCCAAGAUCGAGAUACGCUCUCGGCAGCCAGCGCUCGCUCUGUGGCCUCUGGGUUCCCAACGAUCCAAACUGAGGGCGGAGGCCGGGAGGCUCGGGCGCCCAUCCCGGCUGGGGACAGAACCCUCCAAUUCCCAGUGUGGUUCUGUUGAGCCCCAAACCUCAAACACACCCUGAUGCCUCACUUCCUCAGCGCAGCCUGGGUGACAGGCCACCUUGCCGGGGGCUCGUCGGUUCAGUUUGAGUCACUGGGGUUUAUGGAAGGAAGGGCUUUUCAUCUCAGGAGUUGGUGGCCACACCACGCAGGGCCUGUUCCCACCAGCCUCUUGCGCUGCAUCUGUGCAAGCGGCUGGAAUUACUUCUGGGGCCACCUCACCAUGCCUGCGCGGAACGGCUCCGGGUGACGUGGUGGGGAGGCAGCUGCACCGGGGAGGCCGGGGCCAGGACCUGGUCCAGGGGGAGCUCAUCUCGCUGCACCACUGGGCGCACCAGGUGCGGCUCCUGCCUCCGCCUCUGUAGAAUGGGGUCAGGGGCAGCUAAUGUGGCUGGACUCUCAGAUGGACAGGUCCAUGCCUGGCACAUAGUAGGUGCUCAUUGAGGGAGAGGCAGCCAUCAGUGAGAGGGAGAGGGUGGAAAUCCCAAGAAGCAAGACCUUAGUUCUGCUGGUCCUUGGAAAGUGGGGUGAGGAAGGAGGAAUUCCACAUUUGGGGUAAUCUGAUGUCACCUGCAACUGUCCCACCUGGAGCUAACUCCAGCAGACUCCAGACUUCUUGAUGGAAAUGCUCAGGGAGGAUGUGCGCACAAUGGGCAUGUGCUGGGCCUUCCUCAAGCGUGACUGUGCGUCUCACUGAUGCCUUUGUCACUGGGGGGGGGGCACUGGGACACUGAACCAGGGGAAGAGCCUUGGCAACUGGAGUCGGGACCCCCACGGAUACCCAGGUCAGCCACGUGCAGGACCCUGUUAUACAGGGCCCAGCAUUUGCACAGAAGCUCCGCUUGCCGCAUCCUAGGCUUUACGUAUCUCUCGUUGCCUUAGAAUACCCAACGGUGCAGAUGCUGGGGAAACCGUCAUGCUGCCUUGUUAAGGAUAAUGACAACAUUAAAGAGCCAGGCGCAGGGGCUGGGGCUGUGGCUCAGGGUAGAGGGCUUGCCUAACACAUGGGAGGCCCUGGGUUCGAUGCUCAGCACCACAGAAAAAUAAAUAAAUAAAAUAAAGAUAUCGUGUCCAGUUACAACCAAAACAUUAAAAAAAAAAAAGGCCAGGCGCAGUGGCGCACACCUGUCAUCCCAGUGGCUCGGGAGGCUGAGGCAGGAGGACUGCAAGUUCAAGGCCAGCCUCAGCAAUAGCUAGGCUCUAAGCAACUCAGUGAGAUCCUGUCUCUAAAUAAAAUAAAAAAUAGGGCUGGGGAUGUGGCUCAGUGGCCAAGUGCCCUGAGUGAGUUCAAUCCCCCGCAAAAGUCUGUCCGAGUUCUGUUUAGCACAGGCGCAGUGUUUGUUUUCGAUCCAGGGUUAGCCAAAUCCUGGAUGUGGAGCCCCGGGCUGGAGGGCUGACUGGGCCGUGGCUGUGACCGUGGCCUGUGUGACUGAGACCGUUGGCAUGUUCAGGGUUCACCAUGCCCAACAGCCAAGGAGAAGGAAGAACCCAAGUGUCCACCAAGGAAUGAACAAACUCACAACGUGUGUCCCCUGUGUGAGGGAACGUCUCCCAGCCCCAGAAGGAACGAAGCACUGAUGCAUGUGACAUGGAUGAGCCUCGGAUGCAUGACACUGAGUGACACAGCCAUAGAGAAGGCCACCCAGGCGCGAUCACAUUGAUGUGAACUGUCCCCAACAGGUGAACCCACAGGGACAGAAGGUGGGUCACGGCUGGUCAGGGGCUGGGGGAGGGAGUGAGAGUGACCCUGGUGGGGACAGGGUCUCCUUUCCUGGGGUAAAGUGUCCUGAAACCAGAUAAGAGUGAUGGCUGGAUGUGACGAGGGGACUCAGUGCCACUGAAAUUGCACGAUGUAACAGUCACUCUGGGGCUCAGUGGGCUCAGGGGCAGGGCUCGCCCAGCACCUGUGAGGCUCUGGGCUCCGUCCUCAGCUCCAUGAAAAUAAGGUAAGGCUACGUACGGUGUCCACCACAGCCCAAAGAGAAAUAUUAAAAUACAUGGUCACUCUUCCCUGAAU
rnacentral:lncRNA from 1 species